AAACCUCGUAUGCCACAUCUUCUCUCGGAUCAUAGCCUAUGUAGAUCUGUAUGGUGUUUUCGUGGUGACAUUUUUGGAAUUUGGAUCGGCAUUGGCGAUUUGGGGGUUUAGGGUUACGGAACCAUUGAUGUUCAAAAUCUGCAAAUGUGAAAGUGAAGUGGUGGGUUAUUGUGAAAUCUAGUAAGUGGGUAUUGAUUGAAAUCGAGAAAUAAUAAACGGGUAUUGAAAAAGUUUUGAUUUUGAGAUUGGGUUUUUGUUCCUCAAGAGAAAUCAAGAUGUAGAUCUGAAGUGACGGGAUGGAGUUGAAAAGGGUUAAGAUGCAGGUGUGUAUUUAUUGAUUGGUGGAUUCUCAAUCUCUUUGUAAAAAUUACACGUUUUGUCUAGCGGUUCUUACGAUUCAGUCGGAUAGAAGUUUUGGGGCGCUUUUGUUCAUGAUUUACAUGUAUGGGGGGCGGUGGUUGCUGGUGAUUGCUGGUUGGGCGGUGGUUGCU
rnacentral:lncRNA from 1 species